rnacentral:rRNA from 1 species
ACAUGCUUACAGCAUAGUGUUAAUGCACCAUAUACCAUUAUAACUAUGUAGUUAAGCGUGCUCGGGCUAGAGUAGUACUAGGAUGGGUGAUUGCCCAGGAAGUCCUAGUGUUUUACAUGCC